rnacentral:lncRNA from 1 species
AAAAUAACAAGACGAAUUCUACAUGUGCAGCAACAGGAAAGACAACAGCAGUUUUCCCUUAAUGGGCAUCUCAGACCAUUCCUAUUUUUUUUAUGGAGUUCGUGUUGCUCAGUCUUCAAUUUUUCCAUGUUGUGUUUUGUGUCUUGUUAAGUUUUUUGUCUUUUCUUAUUUCUUUCAUGGCAUUGUCAGUUCGUCAAAAAGUAGGUG